UAUUUUGUCUAGAGUAGAUCCUCAUCUAGUUAUGGUAGACUCACACUUGACGACUUAGAAUCACUCAUUAUCAUAUGGUGAUAAUAGUCAUUGUGAUACUCAUUAUCAUAUGGUGAUAAA
rfam:Populus trichocarpa scaffold_10_contig_115, whole genome shotgun sequence.